AACGAACGCUGGCGGCAGGCCUAACACAUGCAAGUCGAGCGAGCAUUUCGGUGCUAGCGGCGGACGGGUGAGUAACGCGUGGGAACGUGCCCUUUUCUGCGGAAUAGUCCUGGGAAACUGGGGGUAAUACCGCAUACGCCCUUUUGGGGAAAGAUUUAUCGGAGAAGGAUCGGCCCGCGUUGGAGUAGGUAGUUGGUGGGGUAAUGGCCCACCAAGCCGACGAUCCAUAGCUGGUUUGAGAGGAUGAUCAGCCACACUGGGACUGAGACACGGCCCAGACUCCUACGGGAGGCAGCAGUGGGGAAUCUUAGACCAUGGGGGCAACCCUGAUCGAGCCCUGCCGCGUGAGUGAUGAAGGCCUUAGGGUUGUAAAGCUCUUUCAGCUGGGAAGAUAAUGACGGUACCAGCAGAAGAAGCCCCGGCUAACUCCGUG
rnacentral:rRNA from 1 species